GUGUGUGAGAACUCUAGUAAAAAUAUGUAAACAUCAGAAGGUAUAGAAAUUUUUUGAAAGAACUUUAAAACUUUUAAAAGAACAGGGCAACAGUUCUGGCUUGAGUUUGCAAGGUAGCUAGAGAAACUGAACUUUCAACUCUUAUUUCCACUAGAACUGAUCUGGCUCCAGAGUCUAAUUUCCAUCUUCAAUUUCAUUGUUUUACUUUACUGGGCAAAACGAAGUAUUUGGUACUUGUUUUACACUACUAAAACUGCUGCACCAACAAAGCCAUAAAGCAACAAAGAAAAACCAGCAUAGGGUUGAACAGAGUUGAAAGUUGCAGUAACAGGACUAAGUUUCAGCUUCUUCUCUGUGUGUACAGGAAUUACACAAAUGUAACAUAACAAGACAAAAUGUUCCAAAUCCAUUGUUGUUGCUCAGAAACUUGGAGCAAUUUGGUGCCUCUUCAUCAUCUGCUUCUUCCAGAAGAGGCACUGGCCUCUGUGCCUGCCAGAGAUUAUUUAUUGAAACACACCAUAUGACAGCUCCAUCAACACACCAGCCACUGUAGCUUUACAGCCAUCUCCAGUCCCUAAAUUUGGACUUGUUUCUUUCAAAGAGGGACUUGCUAAGUACCUGUCAGCUUGACUAGAUUCAUCUUUAACAGCAUUGACCUUAAAAGUUAGGAAAUACUUAGCCAAAUACAAGGUCAGAUUUCAAAUAUAAAGUUAGAAUCCAAGCUAUAAAAAGGUAGAUUAAACUAAAGGAUUAUUUCUUAGCUGCUGUGAUAUUUUGCAGCCAGAACCCCUAACAGCCUAGGCAGCAGUAACACAUGUAUUCCAUGCUAUUUCAGGAUGAAAUUAAAAUCUAACCAGCUGUGGUCUAAUGGUAACCCUAUCCAAACUCUUUUUUUUAUUGAAGUAUCCUCAAUACUGUUAAAAUAUCCUGCGAGACAUGUAUCAUCAGGUCUAUUCAUUGUAUGUUCACUUGGUUAGGCUUGGAGACUUGUACUCUUUCUAGGCUGCAUUUUUCCUAAAGCCAUAUUAUCAGCUACAUUAUAGGUAGGAUGCUCUAUCCAAACAAUCUCUCUCACAGCCCAAAUUUACCAGUUUCAAGGGUUCUUACAGACAUGUAUUUUUCAGAUAGUGCAGAAGUUGUUUUUUCAUCUUAUUUGAUGUUCUAAUAUUUAAUUGUUUCUAAUACUCAAAUCUUAGAAUCUUAUUUAGAGGGAAAAUCUGAUAUAAAACCAAAAGUAUUGAUGAAGUUGCUGAUUUAAAUAAAGGCCUGAUUUAUUUAUUCCCCUAUACUGUUGGGAAAUAUGGGAGGGACUUAGAGGAAGAGGACAGAAAAGUAAGAAAAUUACUCAUUCCCCUUACAGAAGGUAUAUUUUCCCUAAUGUGCUGUAGUGAAAGCUGGUAUAUAGGAAGCAGAUAAAGCUGCAAAGGCUUCAGGGUGUAAUUGCUGAAGCUACAGUGCUUACAACUGUGUCUCAGUGUCUACAGCAGUGCCUCAGUGCAUACUGGGCAUGAAGCUGAUGGGGCUAGUAAAAGCAGAAAAGCAAACAGACAAACGGCCAGCGUUGUAGUUGUGUGUGCUCUUGAUUAAUAUUGGUUUUAAUGUUAAUAUUCCAUUGGUUCAGCUGUGCUUGCACUGGUUUUAGGCAGAUAAUCAAUUGUAAAUUCAUAGGUUUUCAUGUUCUAGCUUUAAGCACGGUAAAAAGUUCAUUUGUAGUUGUACUCUGUUGUUAAGUGCCAUGACAUGAAAAAGGUGGAGUUUAUAUUUGUGCCUUUCAGUUCUUCCAUUUAGUGUGCUGCUACAUAACAGGAAGAUAUAUUUUCUGAUUACCUGCUCUCUUAACAUUGUAAUCUCUUAAGUACUUAAUUCCUGAAAUAUUUAAACUAUGCAGACCACCCAGAAGGGCUCAGCAGAGAAGUUUCAAACCAGUAAAUUUCUACUGCUCAUGUUACUAUGUCAAGCCAUUGGUAAGAAAUGAAUCAACUACUUGAAAAAGCUAUCCUGUUUGAUUUUUCACUAAGAGAAUAGUCCAGAGACACAGAAAUCAUAUUUAAACCAGCUUUAAUAAAACUGUCUUUACUCCUUUUUAAAGACUUGUAAUCCUAGCUAGUCUUACUGAAUUUGGGUAACUGCCAUCUCAUUGAGCCACUGCUCAAUUUCUUGUAGUAGUCAAGGCAAAUCAAUAGACAAAAAAAUAGAUGGUUACAGAAACAGAUGUUCAGUCCAUACUGAAUAUCUCAAAAUACUCAGUUUUUUCAGUUUAUGUGAUGGCAACUGAAGAAAUUUUUACAAUCUCUGUAUUACACAUGUAUUCCAUGUGUAAUACACACAGUUAUAUAUUUAUGUAAUUAUGGAAAACUAUAAACGACACCUAAAAAAUAAGUAAUUCUAGACUACUAUUUUUGUAGCAGUUCCUUAAGUUUUAUUAUUUUGGAAUCCUUUAUUUUCAAGUUUGUUUAAGACUCCAUAGGCGCUUUGAAUUAUUUUGAUUGCCCUACCUGCAAAUCUAACCAAAUUGCACUCUAGCAGUGAAGCCUGAGCUCUGAGACUAUGGUGGGAAGUUUCUGUUGUUCCAGGAACCAUACAUCCCAUACACUUUCUUAAUGGGCCUCUAGCCAUCCCCAGAAAGAUAUAUUUUAAUGCGUUCUGGAGUGAAAUGGGAAGAUUUUAAGUCAGGCCUUUUUGCAGAUGCUGGAUCAUUCCUUCUGCUGCCUCAGGGACCCCAUUGGAAUCAAUGGAAUGGUUACUUGUAUGCUGAGAACAGAAAUGUCACAUGCGUCUCCCCCUUAAAAGGAUGUUCUGUUCCAUACAAAAAAAAAAAUCCAUGCAAGGUUUUACUGUACUGAUAAGCAGUCUGGAAUACACUUAAAUCUGAUGUAAUCUGAAACCACACAGGAAGACAGACAACUCUCUACAUGCUUUCAGGACCAAGUGGGAAGGAGAUAUGACCUAUAAGUCUUCUUCUAGAGCCCUGGGCUGUUAGUGAGUCAUGAGGACUGCAUGCAGGAAUGGAAGUUCUUACUCUUUUCACAAUCCUGUAAGCCAGUUAAUACAGCAUGGAAAUAAUGGAAUUUACUUCAUUUCACAGAGGCACCAGUGGCAACUAGAAUGUUAGAAAAGGUGGUAACAUGGAGAGGCCGAGCACAGUGAUCCUUCAUUGGUAGUUACCCUAAAUCCACAGUAUUAUGAGAAUUCUUUUGAUGAGACAAUCUUAAGGCUACAUAAGAAAAAAAAAAUAUUCUAAAUCAGGUCAAGCGAUUUGAACUACUCACCCUCUUCUGAGUAACCAAAAUGACACUGAUUAAAGACACCAGUGUAAAGAUGGAAUAGUGUAGAAGUUGAAUAUUUUUUGAAGCUUUUGCUGUCUCCACCAGUGAAAAUACUCAUCAUAAGUAUCUCUUGUUUCAGUGCUGGAUUAGUUUUAUAGUUCCUAAAAUUCUUGAGCACAAAUUCAGGGCUGUUGCCUGUUAAUUCUGAGCUCAUUAGAGAAACUGAAGGAAAAGAGAAAUGUUGGCAGUGACCAGUGCUCCUGUCAGCAGUGCCAGUUCUGUAGCUCUUGCCAAGCACACAAUCCUUUACCCAGACUGGUCCAAAGCUGGUCUUUCCAGUAGUAUCUUUCCAUCUGGAUUGCUCCCAAAAGGAAGAUGACAGAAGGGUACUUGUUAUGCUUUACCUUGCCUUUUCUGGUUUCCAGAGUGUUACUGGCUGGAUAAGCUUAAAGGAACUGAAAUGGUGCCAGAUACACAUCAUUAUGUGUUUUAACACACUGAAUACAAGGGAGAGCAAGUUUAAAGUGUUAAUCUAGCUUCUGCAAGGGGAAAAACUCACCUGCUUCCAAGGGACUGGGCAUUCUUUCAUGCACAGUGGAAGUGUACAAUAUUAUAUAACUAUUACUUAAAGACAAAGUUUUGGGGUUUACCAUAAUAUCUUCUGAAAAAUUAUCCUCCUCAAAAUUAAAGUAUUUUUGCAUCUUAAAAUUGGUACCUGGUACAUAUGUAUUUAAAUGACAACAUAAACUUCUGUUUGUCUUCUUUGCAAGGGGAUUCUGAGCCGAUGAUAGAUAUUAAUGAUUGACCUUAUGGCUAAGAUUUUUAAAUCUGCCAUUUGGAUGCCGUGUUCAAUCCUUUAAAGAGGAUAAAGCAAAAAUAUUGGAUUAAAAUAAAGAUAUGACAGUAUAAACUUUAGGGCAUCUUCUCUUAUCUCCUAUAAUUUUGAUGCUCAAUUACAGUAUGAAGACCCUGGCAGAUUAAGCAGUACUUAAUAGCAAUCUUCUUUGAAAAAUACUCAUGUAGCACAUAUUCAGAUGAAUGUACUUCAGCAUCAGUCACCAUUCAAUCAAUAACCUUUUAUUCAGUAUAACCUACUCAGAAUGCAAAAACUGAAAAAAAAAGUUAUGAAAUUAGUUACGAAAGAAGGUGUUAGAAGGUGAUGCACCGGGGACCUAGUGCAACACAUGCUUGUAAGAGCAGAAAUAGGAACAGAAAGUCCUGAAUUAAUUAUGUAUAGAGGGUAUUUAUGUGUUGCUACUGACUGUAAAAGAUGAUCCUCACUCUAAAGAACUUGUCUUCAGAAUCUCCAAGAGAGCAAAUAAAGAGAGCUAAAAAAGUCAAUGCAUCAGAAUUCAGUAUUUUCCAUUUUCAUUAUAGACUUGUAUAGCAUGCCUCAAGUCUACCUACCAUUUGGAAAUACGUAUGAGAAAAUAUAAAUUAUUCUCCUGUAAGAGCAGAUUUCUGUGGAGAACAAAAAUAAAGAUCAAUUCAGCAGUAAGGGCUGCUGAGGCAUUUUCAGACAGCUAAUAACUCCCUCCAGAGCUGCCUAGGUCCAAUUUGGAAUUUGAGCUGACAAUUGUAUCUCUCCCUUGAUUGGUUGCCAGGAAGAAAACAUCUAUGCUUCACUGCAAAUGUAAGUAAUAAAGGACAGUAAGGUCUUCAAGCCUUAAAGGUAAUAGAACUUUAGGUUUUGUUUUUUUUUAAAUGCCUACCUGCUUUUCUAGGGGGAAAAAACCCAACAAAUUAAAAUUAUUAUUUUUAAAAAAGAAUCUGUCCUGAUGUAUGUUAGAAGUUAAAAGUGUACAUUCAUACAUACUGAAAGUAUGAUGAGCUUACUGCAAGCUAAAUGAGACAAUUGUCAGUAGUGAGUUUAUUUUCUUACGUAAAAGUGAAAAUUUCAUUUACAGCAGCUAUAAAAGUAUAGAUAAACUCUUUCACGCUUCACCUUCUGACCUGCAUUUCUGACUAGCUUACAGAGGCUGCCAUUUCUUUGCUCUAUUCAUGCUUUGAGCCAGCUGGACAUAAAUAAGAUCAGCUUCUUUCCAGAAAUCAUGUGGCCACAUUAGCACAGUUCUGAGCCCAAGCUAAUGUAUUCUGUUUCACAGCCAGCCUUAUUAACUCAGGUUCAGCAGUACACAAAUCACAGCUACACAGCUGCUACACUGCCUGGCUCAGGGCACAGGCAGAGUGAACCUGUCACUGUCUGCACCCAUCCAUGUGGAUGUACCCUCAGAUGACCCUAGGCUGUAAAAAAAGCUAGUUUUAGGAAUUGGUUCUCCAAUUAAUUACAUUUUAAUUGCAUAAUACAAUGUAUACUGGAAAUGGAGUAAUGAAAUCUUACAGGAUAUGGUAAAGUGAGUUUUUUCCAACAUCACCGCAACAGUGUGCUGCCCAAACUGGUCUAUGAACUAACUUGAAAAUAGAGGCAAGACAUGUAGUCAGUGGGUCAGUGCAUUGGAUUUGAACACAACUCCUCAAAAUUACUUUUCCAGUAGCUUUAAAGUCUUAAAAGUCACUCAAAAUACUUUUCAGUCUUCCUGCAGAGAAUUCCCAAAGAGCCCAAUAACAGCCUUUUCCAAGUACUGAUCCCUUCGUGAGUAAAAGUAGUAAUUGUGGGCAUACCAAAUGUCAUGAUAUGUUAAGUGACAAUGGGGACUUCACAGGAAUUUUCACCUCUUGGAUUUUUAUCUGCUGUCAUUUAUCUACUCUGCUAUAUUCCUGUGCUUCUCUGUACAAGAGACAGUGGAGUUAAAUAUCUGCAAUUAGAAAUAAAGCUGCUAAACACAAUUUAUUGCUCAUAAAAAGUUUCACCUUUUGGAUCUAGCUCACUCACUGUCUGCAGCAGUGGACACAAAGUGAAGAACACAAAUACCUAUGGUGUGCUGCCAGCUGUCAGCUCAGUUAUGUCCUUGGCCUGAUAGGAUUUGCCCAGGUUAUUAUUCCCAGUGGAUCACUCCUUCAAGUACUCAUCCAAUCUCCCAUCAAGUUCAUAUAAAUUGUUGCCUUUAUAAAUUUUGAAAAGAAAUGUAACAAGUUUGCCAGCUUUUUGGUAUGUCAUUCUAAACCAAAUCUGAGAGCCUAGAACAGCCAUACAGUGAGACAGAUCAAAGAUCCACCUCACUAGUACCCUUGUCAGCUAAAUCAGCCCACAGAGAAUGCCUGGAAAAACCAGCAGAACAGACAGGAUUAGCAUGCAAAGGUAUUUCCUCAUUCCUCGGCAAUCUUUAUCUCGGGAGUUCCUGAGACUCCUAAUGGUUGCAUUUCACCUGCCCUUCUACUAUCCAGUCAUGUUACAUCUCACAACAGGCUUUCUUUUUUCGAAACCCAAAAAUACAGUACCAUCAUCUAACUUCCGUGCCUCACUUUACAUCUUUGAUUUUAAAGCGUUUUUUUCUCAACAAAUAAUUUAGAAAUAUGUUUCAUACUUCAAAUUUCCAUGAAAAUGCACUAAUAGUCACCCUUCAUUUUAGAAACAGACCAUUUUCUCCUAACCUGUAUCAACAACUUAUUCCUUGGCAGUUUAGUUUCUUUUAAGAGCCACAGUCCACUGUAGUCUAUUAUGCAAACAGAUCUUUUUUUAAUGCAAGUGCAUCAACUGCAAGUACAACGACAUCACUAUUAAAACAUUUUGAAGCAGAUUACCAUGCACAAUGGUGAUCAAAAAUCAAGUCAAGGCCAAGAAGCCUAAAAUUCAUGGCACAAAGAUUUUAGUCUCAUGACUCUGAUCAACAUGACAUUUACCUACAGCACUUAAAAGUACACAGACAAUCUUCUCUCUUUUGUUUUCUUUUACAGUGCCUGAUUUUCCUUAUCAGGAAAUGUUUGCCACCAUCUAGAUACUACAGUCCUAGCAAGAUACAUUUCUUAUUUGGAAUUCAUUUUAACUCUGAUUUUUCUCAACAUCCUUUAGUAGUGCAAAGGGCUAUUUUCACCUUCUCUAGAUAAUUUAUGUUUAUUCUCCUUCCCUCCCCUGUCUCAUAUGCACAGCAUCACACUAGCCCCAUUUAUACUAGCUUUUCUUAGUCUCUUUUUCUGGGUUUGGGGGUUUUGAUGUUUAUAGAGCAGUACAUUUUUAGUAAUUAAGGAGAUACAGACAGAUAACAGGAGUCAGUGCAUUCUUCUGUUGAUUGUACAACCAGACUUAUUUAUGCGGCUAUUCCACUCCAUCCUGCCUCACUUCUGGCACUACUGUCCUUCUACUCAGAGACACAGAAUGCAUUUAAGAUUUCAUUCACACAAGAUGAACUAACACUGAAAAAGCAACAUUCUUACACCUUGUAGUAAUAUCACAGUACAAAAAACCAAUACAUAUAAUAUUGGCCCUCAGGCUUCAGCAAUAUGAUUCUUACUUUUCAUACUGUGUCAGAAACAUUUUCUGCAGGUCAGUGGGUAUAACUACACAAGCACUAAACUACCAGGAAUCCCAAACUGCUGCCAAGUUACACUUCAAUAAAAGCUUACUGAAUCAAGACUCUGAUGCUUCUGAUGUAGAUUGAUGAAUAACUGAUUUUUAUUUCCUGCACUGCAAACCACUCUGGCAGUUCCUGAGGUGUGUAAAAAUUGCUUUUAACAGCACUUCACUAACAAGCAAAAGGUGUUCAUGUAGAUGGAAACCAAAACAAAAUUCAAUAAAAAUCUUUCACUUCAAUAAAAAGUAAGCCAUGGGAACAUUGAUCAUAAUCAGUGAAUAAAUAUGAAAUAGAAAUAACUUUAUGGUUUUACAUAAUUGUAUGCAAAAAAAAUUCCAAGGGUCAUUUAUAUCAGUUUGUUUAAAAUACAUUUUAAACAAAUACUCUCCUAUGAAGAAAAGCUGUUCAGCCUAGAAAAGAGAAAGUUCCAGAGGUACCUUUAAGCAGCAUUCCUGUACAUAAAGGGGGCUGCAAGAGAGAAGAGGGACUUUUUACAAGAGCAUGAAGUGAUAAGACAAGGGGGGAUGGCUUUAAACUGAAAUAGGGAAAGUUUAGAUUAGAUAUUAGGAAGAAACUCUUUAUUGUGAGGGUGGUUAGGCACUGGAACAGGUUGCCCAGAGACGUUGUAGGUGCACAGUCCCUGGGAGUAUUCAAGGCCAGCCUGGAUGGGGCUCUGAGCAAGUCAGUCUAGUGCAAUGUGUCCCUGCCCAUGGCAAGGGGACUGGAACCAGGUGAUCUUUAAGGUCCCUUCCAACCCAAGCCAUUCUCUGAUUCUAUGAAAUACAGACAGGUCAGCUGGGAUUAUAUAAGAGUUUGGCCCCAAAUAAUAAUUAUUCCUGGUGAAUUUUGAAGUCAAGGUCUUUUAGCUGCUUUCAACCCAACAGGAGUAAUUUUCAUCAUGUUAUCUCAAAUAACUGAUGUCAGAUUAUCUGAGGUCCUGUAAAAGAUCCCAAACUUUGACAUUUCACAAAUUAGCAAGUCAGCUCUAUAAACAGACAUCCCAUCCUGAUCCAGCUGGAUAACAAGUAAUUUAAUUUACUCCCUAUCUGUUACCACCUGCUUCAGGAGAUUGUCACCUGCCAAGUUUUACUGAAAGGGAUCCCUGUUUCAGAACUCUGUGAAGGACACUGCAGCAGUUCUCAGCUUUGCCACGCCACUCUCCUCCUGACCUGUCACCAAUAGACAUGAAGAUGCAUCCCUUUCACAUGUGGAUACAGCACCAAGUUUCUUCAGGGCGUUCCCAAGGAAGACAAGAUAAAAUGUGUCUCCUCAAGGGCUUCUGCCAGAGCACCAUAGAAUUAGGCCCUGGAGGGAAGAGGGAGCCCAGGAAACAUGUGUUGGAUGUCAGGCAAAAAUGCCAGGAGACCUCUGUGGGUGAAGAAGGAGCACCUCCAAACUCAAACACAAAAAGGAAGCACGGAGAAGGUGGCAUCAAGGACAGGUAACCUGUGAGGAAAACAGACACAUUGUUCAUAUAUGCAGGGAUGAGGUCCUGAAAGUUAAAGCCCAGUUGGAACUGAAGCUGGUGAUGGAUGUCAAAGACAACAAGAAAUGCUUCUGUAGGGGACAAACAAAAGACUGGGAAAAAUGUGAGCCCACUGCUCCCCCCCUCCACUUCCUACUAUAAAAUCUCACUCCAUUGUUUUAGACAAGACCCAGUAAAUAGAAGCAGUUCUGUACCUCUUACUGUACCUACCCUUCUUUUCUUUGUGUAAUAUAAUUCCUUACAUAAUGUUUAAGGAGUUCUAGAAAAGACAAAAGCACAUGUGCUAAGGAAAAAAACAGGUGGGGGUUUUGUGGGGAGUUUUUUUUGGGGUUUUUUUUUUUAUUUGGUUUUUUUUUUGUUUUGGUUUGGGUUUUUUUGGGUUUUUUGUUUUUUGUUUUGAUUUUGUUUUUGUCAAAACCUGUGAGCUGGUUUGGCUUGCAAAUUCCUAACUGAAGAGGCUCAGCAAGGGAGCUGCAGAGAAAUGGAAAUCAUCUUCUGUAAAAUACUAUCAGCAAAUUACCUUUGUCCUGGGGCUGAUUUACCUUUUGCAACCCCAGCUACAGCCAGAAACACACACUAGUCUCUUACAAGCUUUCUCCUGCAUCUCUCUACACCUUACCAUGCUGUAUUAUGGCAUUUAGAUGUUUCACAUGGUAGAAUUUUACUGAGAGUGUCUUCUGACAUCCACAGGCUAUCACCUUUUGUCACAUCAUUGCUUUUAGCUACAUUUCCAACUGAAAAUAAGCCUAGGAACUACAACGCCCUUCUCCCAAGGCUGUCAAUUCAGCAAAUAUCACAGAUAAAAAGAUUAAAUGUAAGUUGUGUGUGUAUAUUUGCACACAUAUGAUCUAUUAUAAUUUUUGAAUGCUAAAUCCUGUUUUUUCACCACAUAAUACAAAAGGCUUUCAACCAGAGACACUCACAAUCUAAACAGACAGAAAAGAACACAAGAGCUUAAACAAAGACUCUUAUCUUACUCUCUGCUUUUACAAAACAUUUAACCUUUUACUUAGAUAUACUAGUGCCAGGACCUCACAAAGAAAGUAAUGUGUUCAGGAGGGAAUGGAGAAAGGGCACCUCCCUUCUGCAAAAGGAUUGAGAAGGAAUUCCAAACAUUAAGAUAAAAAUCAAAAUAAAAUGGAAAAAUGAGACAAAGUUGUAAGCCAGAAUUCUUUCAUUAUGUAUUUCAGUGAACUUUUGCUGAUUUCCUGUAAUAUACCUUAACUGCAACAAUGUUUAUUUGCUAAAUAGAUAGUCCCAGCCUUUAAUCUAUGAACUUCAACAGUGAAAUUUGCAAACUAUGUGGCCCAAAAUAAAAUACACAUUAACGUGCUUAAAUUGGAGGUGAGCCCACAGAAACCAGUGCAUCCAUAUUACGUACAUAGAUCUCAAACACAAGCAUUUAUUUUAAAUUGACUAUUUAGUUCUCACUGACUCAGAAUUACAUAAGAGCCACCAAGGAACGGGCCUCUGGCAGCAUGGACACAGAAAUCUGUUCAAGCACUGACAGGACUGUUAGCUGAGGCCUCAGAAACCCAAAAUCUGGGUCCUCAAGAUGUGUAUUUCCAUAUUUAUCUCAUCAAGCAGUUCAAUCUCACUGGCAGGCUCCAAGGACAGUCUCUUUUAAGAGAUAAGUUGACAAACUACUCCUGCCAGGAUAGGAAAGACCAAGGUAAAUCACUAAUGCCCACGGCAAAUUUAGCCUGACAGGGCGGUAAUCUCUUCUAAAAUACCUUUGGCACUAAUGCACCAAAAAUUUCCCAUCAUCCAACUGCGUGCCCUGAAUCACCAUAACUGGGAGCCUGAGAUGAUCCCAGAUUCUACGGGACACUUAGGCUGAUUUAAAGGCAAAUAAAUGUACUUGCUCCUUCACAGCAGUUCAGCCAUGAUUUACACAGGCUGAUCUGGCACACAUUUAAAUUCCUGCUAGGGCUUUCUGUAGUUUUUAACCAUAUCACUUCACCUCCCCCCAGUUAUAAAAAGAGAAUUAUGGUAUUUGUGUAACAUUACAGAGGCACUGUCAGUUAUGACAAUUAAUUAAAUAAAAUAAAUAUUCACAAUAAAGAGUUGAUUCUGCUUUAUUAAGGUAGAGCUUUUUUUUUUAAACAACAAAAAUUUUAUUUAAAGCAAGGAAGACCUGGUGCAAAAACUAAAGCUAAAUACAGACAAUGAUAUGAAAAGUUAUUUUAAAAUAUCUGAUAAUUAACACUUGUAUAAAACCAAGCAUGUGUUCCACAGCUUUUAUUCCCUGCAGUCAAAAUUCAAGCCUUUACAAUUUGCCUGCUGAAAAGGUAACACGACCCAGCAUAUUUUUCUGUAUUUAGAAGAAAUACAAAUUUAUGGGCUGUUUUUACCACAGCAGCAUGCAACAUUCCAAAAGAAGCUCUAAGAAAAAGUAAUUAAAAAUGUGAAGUUUAACAGAAAAUGAGACAAAGCCUAAAGCCAAAGAAAAAUCCUGCUAAACUUAUUCAAUAUUAUUGAGAUCUGUAGUUUUUCUAUGAAAAGGAAAAAUGUAUUAGAUCACACCUAUCUGGACAAGUGAAACACUUGAUAUGGUGCAAUACUGACAUUUAUGUCUAUCUUAUGGAAGUUAAGGAGAGGCUGGAAGAAAAUUUCAGCAAUUUCCCUUGCAAGCAGUUUUAAAUUAACCUUUUAAUUGGUGACUUCAACAUAAUGAGUAGAUAGACACUUUUGAUACAAAAUAAGAAAUAUAGCAUAUGGAAAGAAAAUGCAAAAAUUACAAAAAUGGUGUCAAACUUAUAAUUAUAGAGUGCAACAUUGUACCAAAAUGUGGAAUAUGCAACAUUUUCUCAAGAAAGGAUGUUCUUUAAUGUUUGAUUUUUGUAUACUUUCAAGCUUUACCAACAAGAUGGGAGAUUUAAUCUGUGAAACAGACAGCAGCCCACAAGCUCUAAGUGAUGUGCAGGUGCUAGAAAGACAAAUUACUGGUUGGUAGAAUUGUCUAGCUAAGCUUUAGGGCCUGGCAGGUUUCAGUGAUCUCACACCCAGAGGGAAGUUAAUAAAGCUGGGGAGAAGGAUGUACCACUGACAGCAGACACAAGGAAUGCAGAAUUCAUGGGCCACAAGGACAUUGGGCAGAAUCCCCGAGAUAAGGAAGAAACUAAUAAACCUUACCCCAGCAACUGUGCUGAACCAGCUCUGAGUGGGUAAAAGGUAAUUCUGCAGAGGGAGAUUCCAACCACCCACUCGCAGAUCAUUGACCCAAAAACCCAUCGGCCCAAAGGAAGAGAAACACCACGGGACUGACUAGCAUGAGAUGAGAGAAUCAUUACCUAAUAGAAGAUUGAAAACUAAUUAAUACAAGGAUUAUGUAACAUGUAGUUAAUGAACACUAAUUCCUUUGUUUGCUGACAUGUAUAAAUAGCAAAAGGUUUUGAUAGUUGUUGUGCUUGGUUUGUGGAAUUCCACUGGGCACCCAGGCUUGCAGAACUCUGAAAUAAAAUCAUCAAUGUCUCUCUCACAUGUGAUGUAAUUAGUGAUGCACACUGGGAAACAAAUCCGAUUUUUGUGGACAACAUCCUGCACUUACAAACUAAGAUACCUCAGAAAUUCUGGUCAGAUAGAUGUAUUUGAUGGGGUAUAUUUGAACCUGCCAAGAUAACCAGAAAGCAUCAUGCAAAGGACACGAAUGGUAGAAACUAACUGCAUAUUUUAUUAUUUAAUAAAAGCUUUCUAAACCAA